rnacentral:siRNA from 1 species
GAUAAGUGGGAGCUUCGGCGC